GCCCGGUUAGCUCAAUCGGUAGAGCGUGAGACUCUUACUAUCCACAUAGUAAUCUCAAGGUUGCGGGUAUGUACUUCUCAACCACAAUCGAGGUUAUUCACACUCAUAUGCUAACAUCACCUCAAAGGUUCGACCCCCGCAUCGGGCU